ensembl:lncRNA
GGAAAAAGUCCCUGAGAUGAGAUAAUGAAGAAACCUUGAGAGGAACCAGACUCAAUGUGCAAUCAAGUCUAUUUGUAGCCAUCAGAAACCAAACCCACAGCCUGACUGAUGCAGUGUCUAUCAGUGAACGUUUACUCCACCCUACACAGACAUUUAACCUCCAUCUCUCCUACCUGCCUCCUGUUCUUCACACACAUGCUACAUCACACAGGAUUGAUGAACAAUGUGCUGAUAAACAAACAAACAACAAUGAGACGAAAAAUCAGCUGCAAAGCACUCAUCCUUUGUGCUCUCUUCAUAGCUCAGAGCACUGCUACAGAGUGCAACUCAACUGAAACCAAUGACACAUCUAGCAGCAUUAACUGGAUUGAAAAGAACCUUGGCAAUUUCUCCAAUUAUGCGUCUUUGGAAGAGCUGAAAAUUCUAAAUGCAAAUUUGUCUAGCGUUGCAGUGUUAGGCUUACUGUCCAGUGAGCAGAAGGCACAGUUCAUCUUGCAGCCGGAUUCAGGAGUGUUGGGAAAUGACUCUGUGUUUAGAGAGGUGUUUAGCAGUGUGAUCACAUCUUUAGAUCUGAAUCAACUUGGCGGCUUUUUCACAGCCUUCAAUCAGACUGCAAUACAAAUGAACUUGACCAGCAUUCCUCCAACAAUAUCAGACGCCAUUCUGAACAUGACGCUCUUGUAUCUGGUGCCUCACUUCCAAAGUUUCAGCCCAGAUGACUUUGCCCUGUGGUUCCAGACUUACCUUUCCUUCUUCCUUCCUGGGAUUGGUCCAAACACCCUGUCCAUCAUCCCCAUGAACAUCAGCUGUGACUCCUACAGAGAGAUAGUGAAAGGACUUGAUCAUGUGUACAGUGACCUCUCUGCAGCACAGUCCAACAUUGUCUUCAAUUACACACAAGACUAUCUCAAGUACCAGUCCAGCCAAGGCCUGAGCUGCUAUGACAGCGGAAGCUUCUACAUGUUCCUGAAAGGGCUGUUCCUCAGUUUUGGAUUCCCCGACCUGAAGGAUUUCCUGUCUCUGAUCCCACCUGACCGACAGGAAGAGCUUUUGGACUCCAUCUCUCCUGAAGAACUCAGCGAGUUUCUGAACAGGCCGAACACAGUCGUUAAUGGUUCAGAGCUCUGCACACUCCUCAACAGCUACAAUAGAACCGAUCAGUUCCUGGAGAUGGAGCCUGUUUUGUCCUCAGCUCUGGCCAGCCAAACGUUGGAGUGUGUGUGGCCUCGAGCUCUCAGUGCCUCAUCUCAGGCUGAUGUAGAACAGUGGUUUAAUGUCACCCUGGUUCACUACCUGCCCUACCUCAGUUCUCAGCUCAUCAGCGCUGCCGAACUCAGUGGCGCCUCCUGUCUGUCAUACAGGAAACUGGUGUCUGUCCUGGGGGACAACUACAACUUUUCCGCGACUGAUUUCACCCCGGCUGAUGUGUACAGCUCUAUGAAAGUGUAUCUGAACAGCAGCG